CUGAGGAUCGCGUUACCCUUAUUAUUAACUCGAUUCUAAUGAAUGAGAGCACACCCAGACAUGCUUCAGCUCAGCUUGUAUAAAAAGAGAAAAAGGUGCUCAACGGAGGAUUUAGAAAUCCAAAAAUAAACAUCUUACCCCAGGACCCUUCACAAGAUCACUAUCCCAGAAAACUGGUUGGUUCAUGGUUGGUUCAUGAGUUGGACGUGAUAAGAGGUCAAGGACCACAGCAGGCAGGCGUAAUUCUAGCCCUGCUCAAUCCUGCUUUAUCUCGGCCUCGGAGAAGAUGUGAUCCGGAUGCAGAGGAGGGUGCGCUCGGGGGGAGAGUGGAGACAGGCGUCUCUUGAGUUGGAUGUGACCUGAUGUGAUGUGACGUGGACUUGCGUCUGCCUCCAUGGAAUACCAUCUUCCACAUCAAGAACGGAAGAACGUAAAAGAGAACUAUGAUCAGAAGAAAAACGAAUUAUGAACUUACCAGACAUGUUGUAAAAUCUAAGAAAGAGUCCUGGAAGAAGAGCAGUUAUGAGAUUCCACAAUGUCCUUUUCUAGCUCAGUUAUAUGGGCUAUAAUGAAAUAUUCAUAAAAAUCACACAAAUUCUCAACACACAAGUCUUAAAACUGUCUCAGAGCAUACAAUAAUAUCCUAAUAUAGCUAGGGAUGUAUUAGUUUGUGAAAUUUUCUCUCCAUGCCUACUUUUUAAAACCCCUAGAACUCAAUGAUUUGACAAUGAUUUGAUUGCGCGUUACUUUCAAUUUGAAUAUUCAAAGGCUACACAAAAAUACAUAUUUUUCAGUAUAAAUCAAUACAUAUGCACUUAAAAUAACAUUCCAUUUAAUAGAAUACAGCACUAUUUUAUACCCAACCCGAAAAGAAAUUGAUAUUUUAAACAUUUUAUCCAUCUUUUGCCAAUCUGGCCAUCAGUCCCCCUUCAUAAUGAGGCCCUACAGGAAAGUAACGGUAAGAUGCUCUAUCUAAACAGCACCAACCAUUACACAUCGCAGAUCAUAUGUAUUUCAGAAUGGAUAAGCACAUCAACACGUUAUGACCAUAAAUUCUUUGUCUUAUUUUAAACAACAAAAUAUUAAAUGUCUCGGCUGUGGGCGUGGCAGCCAUUUCUGCCAUCAUUGACUCCAUUGCUCCUUCAGCAAGUGCAUGCUCUCCAUCCCCGGAGCUCACAUCACCCAUGUGUUACCAAUUCUAUUACAGGGGUUUAGCAUUAUUUAGUUUAGUUACAUGAAUUAUAUUCAUUAUUCAUAUAACUAUAAAGACGGAAAGUUUCAGUCAUUCACAUGUGAAACCUGAUUUGACAUCCCAGGGCUAGGCUACUUUAUAGGUAGCCUAUAAAAUAUAGAGAGUCUAUAGACUAUCUAUAAAGUAGCCUACUCGAAUCCAGAAAACUUUUUACAAAUGAGUUUCAAUGCAAAAACUCUGUUUACAUAUGUCGGAUAUAAUUUGAAUUCAAUGAGGAGACUCCUUGAUCGCUCUACUUGUGUAUCCUGGGCCUACUUAGAUGUGGGCAAAGUAUUUUCAAUUUAUAGACUUAUUGGAAUAGGGUUACUGUCCAUGCCUGUUUUAAUGUAUAAGAGUUUCUCUCACGGCACCAAGCGUAAUGUUUGGGGAGGAAAUUGCAACCCCAGAAAUAAAAAUAAUAAAACAUUGUAACGUUAGAUAUAUCAGAACACUAGCAUAAUAUUCUUGGUAGUUACGAUAAUGGGCCUAGGUCCUACUUUAUGGAAGGUGAGAAGUUGGUCAAGACGCCAAUUCAACUACCCAGUGGAGAUGAUGGGUUUUAAGCCUACAUGAUAGGAUCAUUGCAUAGGCACCUACCAGUAUAAAUCAGGAAAGGCAAUAGAUUGUUUUGGGCAUAUAGUGUGUGUAUUUUUUCAAUAUAUGAAUGAUGAUAAUGAUAUAUCGAUACCCCAAAACGGAAAGCUAAGCAAUGUUAAUUAAAACGAGGUAUAUGUUUGUGUUUAUUGUUUGAUAUGUUUGUAAAUUGUUAUUCAAAUGUAGGCUAACAACGGCAAUGGAAGAACACUUAUAGGAAACGGGUUUCUCUAAGGCAAUGUGCUCAUGUUUUCUUCAAAUAUUUGAGUGAAAAUUGCCUUCUGAUAACAUGUUGUUUGUUCAUAUCAUAUGUAUUAAAGGAAGAAGUAACAUGAAACAACUGCGCCAUCUAGUGUAGGAUAUACGUAAGUGGGCUCUCCGUCUUAAUUGAAUGCAGUGGCAAAAUCGUUUUUUUCUCCAUGUGUAAUUUUAUCAAACAAUAUGUUUAAUUUUCAUGCAUUUAUUGCAGUCUCUUUUAUUAUAUUGGAUUUAUAAUACACAUUCUACUGCCCAAUA